rnacentral:rRNA from 1 species
GACGAACGCUGGCGGCGUGCUUAACACAUGCAAGUCGAACGGAAAGGCCCUGCUUUUGUGGGGUGCUCGAGUGGCGAACGGGUGAGUAACACGUGAGUAACCUGCCCUUGACUUUGGGAUAACUUCAGGAAACUGGGGCUAAUACCGGAUAGGAGCUCCUGCUGCAUGGUGGGGGUUGGAAAGUUUCGGCGGUUGGGGAUGGACUCGCGGCUUAUCAGCUUGUUGGUGGGGUAGUGGCUUACCAAGGCCUUGACGGGUAGCCGGCCUGAGAGGGUGACCGGCCACAUGGGGACUGAGAUACGGCCCAGACUCCUACGGGAGGCAGCAGUGGGGAAUAUUGCACAAUGGGCGGAAGCGUGAUGCAGCAACGCCGCGUGCGGGAUGACGGCCUUCGGGUUGUAAACCGCUUUCGCCUGUGACGAAGCGUGAGUGACGGUAAUGGGUAAAGAAGCACCGGCUAACUACGUG